rnacentral:rRNA from 1 species
AUGGAGCUCGCGCCCGAGGCGCGACCGUUGUUGCCCCGUCGAUGUCGUGAACCGAGGCCUCCCCAAGCACUGAGGUGGAGUCUAGAAGAUGCGCGCCGCCGUCUCCGACACCGAAGAAACAGGAGCCGGACUCAGAAGCCCUCAUCGACAUCGUCCUCGGUCGUCUUUCUCACUACGGUCGUCGCUGUUCGUCGUCAGAUUUGUCGCAUCCCGACAACCUCCGGCCUCCCCGACCUCGCCUUCGUGUUCAUUACUACGAGACCGACGUCGCUGCUGGUGCCCCGACCGACUACGCUGUUGACGACCCCUACUUGCCAGAGCAACCAGAUGGCUGGCUACAGCUGUGAGAAUCGAGUGUUCACCAACGUGCCCGAGGGGUUUGUCAAGCUCCUCGUCUCCAUCACCAAGCUCGCGAUCGGGCCAGCAGCUCGCCCGGAGUUCACCCUCUAUCAGCACAAGCUCAGUGACGACGUGUCUAUGCACCAGGCUGUGGUGCAGUUCAAGGGAGGACGUUCAGCUGCACGCCAUUUCCGUUUUACGGGAAGGGCCAUGCCUACGGAGAGGCAUGCCAUGCAGAUGGCUGCCCGUGAGGCGAUAGCUCGCCUUCGGGACAUCCUUCCUAUGAUGAAGACUCGUCGCUACCGCUACCUCCCAUGCCAUGUGCCUUACACCAGCCACUAUGCGUUCGCCUGCCAUCGGGGAGAGCGAGAUGAAGCCAUCGAGAUGGUUGUGGAGUAUCUCAAGGCUCUGGAGGAGUCCUUCGACAACCUCGUAGAUGAUCUUGUGGCUGCCCGCAUGGACUUAGUCCGGGGCGGUCCUGCCAGCAGGAAGGAGCUUCUCCACACGGCGCCGCCUCUGACAUUCGUCUCGUCUUCAGCCUCGUAUGCACCGGCCGUUUUGGCCACUGCUCGCCGUCUGCCUACCACUGAGGAGUUCGACCGAGUCAUCGCUCCUACUCCAGUCAGAGCCGCACCGCCUGCCGCACGCGCUCUACCACCAGUCGCCCUCGCACCAUCACCGCAGCGCAGCGUCGCACGCCAGGAGCCAGCUAGAGAGGAGGAGGUUGAUUCUCCUGGACCGCUGAGCCUGGCCAUCGGCAAGGGGAAGGAGAUCUUCACCAUCUUCGACUGA